UUCCUGCUAGUUGAAGUAGCACAACGGCGGCUUUUCAGGUCGCAGGUCUUGGAGAGAAGCCAAGCUGGAAU
rnacentral:tRNA from 1 species